GACGAACGCUGGCGGCGUGCCUAAUACAUGCAAGUAGGACGCAGUUGCGAACGGGUGAGUAACGCGUAGGUAACUGCCUAUUAGAGGAGGAUAACUAUUGGAAACGAUAGCUAAUACCGCAUACUAGUAGAUGGACCUGCGUUGUAUUAGCUAGUAGGUAGGGUAAUGGGCUACCUAGGCGACGAUACAUAGCCGACGUGAGAGGGGGAUCGGCCACAAUGGGAAUGAGACACGGCCCAGACUCCUACGGGAGGCAGCAGUAGGGAAUCUUCGGCAAUGGGGGGAACCCUGACCGAGCAACGCCGCGUGAGUGAAGAAGGUUUUCGGAUCGUAAAGCUCUGUUGUUAAGGAAGCGGUACUUAACCAGAAAGGGACGGCUAACUACGUGCCAGCCGCCGCGGUAAUUC
rnacentral:rRNA from 1 species